UACGAAGGGUGCAAACGUUGCUCGGAAUCAUUGGGCGUAAAGCGCACGUAGGCGGCUUUGCAAGUCUGACGUGAAAUCCCUCAGCUCAACUGAGGAAGUGCAUCGGAAACUGCAAGGCUUGAGUACUGAAGAGGAUCGCGGAAUUCCCGGUGUAGAGGUGAAAUGCGCAGAUAUCAGGAGGAACACCGGUGGCGAAGGCGGCACUCUGGGCCGGUACUGACGCUGAGGAGCGAAAGCGUGGGGAGCGAACAGG
rnacentral:rRNA from 1 species